rnacentral:rRNA from 1 species
UGGGGAAUAUUGCACAAUGGGCGCAAGCCUGAUGCAGCAACGCCGCGUGAACGAUGAAGGUCUUCGGAUCGUAAAGUUCUGUUGCAGGGGAAGAUAAUGACGGUACCCUGUGAGGAAGCCCCGGCUAACUACGUGCCAGCAGCCGCGGUAAUACGUAGGGGGCUAGCGUUAUCCGGAUUUACUGGGCGUAAAGGGUGCGUAGGUGGUCCUUCAAGUCGGUGGUUAAAGGCUACGGCUCAACCGUAGUAAGCCGCCGAAACUGGAGGACUUGAGUGCAGGAGAGGAAAGUGGAAUUCCCAGUGUAGCGGUGAAAUGCGUAGAUAUUGGGAGGAACACCAGUAGCGAAGGCGGCUUUCUGGACUGCAACUGACGCUGAGAAGCGAAAGCGUGGGGAGCGAACAGG